AGUGCAUAGGGUUUUCCAAUGGGAUCAGGGGGAAAUCACCCAUCAAAGAAGGUUAAUACUUUUGAGUAGCCCAAUCAAAGUUUCAGAACACCGAUAGAGUCCGGGGUGGAGUCUUUUGCUUUUACCAGCCCAAAGCAGAAGAGGACAAAACAAAGAUUUGUACCAUAAUCAGCAGACAGUCGGAUAAUAGGAGGAAGGGAGAAUCAGGGCAGCUCUAACCGGGGUGUCAGCCCAGUUACUACUUCACUAGGUCAGGUGUUGGGAAAUUUGUCACAAAAUCAAUCGUUGGAUGAUUGUGCUUAUUUUAUAAAUUAUAUAUAAAUUUUUGUUAAUAAAAAUUAUUUAGCUUUUUUAUUACAAAUUGAUCAUCUUUGAACUCCUAUGUUGUAAUAAAAUUCUUAGGACUAUAAUUAAUCAACAAAAGAAAAUUUGUCGUUAAGUCCUCAAAAAUGAUCGCGACCAAACG
rnacentral:lncRNA from 1 species